UGAUUGCUGGGAUUUGAACUCAAGACCUCCGGAAGAGCAAUUAGUGCUCUUAACCGCUGAGCAAUCUCUCCAGCCCGACUCUGCAAGUUUCAGUGAGAUAUGUUCAAACUGGCCUAAAAUUUUCUAGAUGCUCAGACUGGCCCCAGCUUCCCAAAAGCUGAACUGGCAAGCAUGUGCCGCCAUGCCUGGUAAAAUCUGAGAUUUGCACGCAUUGCAAAACCAGUCCUGCAGGUUAGCACAGCGUAAUGGGCUUAAUUUUCAUAUGAGUGUGUCCUCAUCUGGCUUAUUCUCCUCCCACGCGGUCCUCAGAAGCCUUUCAAGGUCUGACCUAUGAGUGGACUUUCCAUCACCUCUCACUCCUCAUUCGGAAUGGGCAUUUGGGCAGUGUGGGACCGGAAGUAAGACCCUGCUCCUGAGAGUGUGGAAGAGAAAGCACCAUGAGACAAGACUGGGUAAAACCAAAGACUUCCUCAGCCACAAGGCAAUUAGGGAACCAGGAUACAUCUUCAAAGGGAGGGGCAGGGGCAGGACCUCUAUGCCAGUCAAGUGUUUUAACUUGGUGACAAACCGCAAUGAGUGAAGGGAAGCAGGGGUGGACUGGUUGGAGACUGAACUCGGAACUGCUUUGGGGAUCCUGCCACGCUGUCUUGGGGAGGGGGGGGCAAUGUCACCCACUCCCUUCAAUCUCUUGCAUUUACCAGCCUUGCCCAGCACUUGUGAAGUUCUUGCUGCUGUCUUAUCUGGGCUACAAGCCCUUUAAGGGGGACUCUGCCUUUCAGGGGGAAUGGUAAAUGUCCGAAUGAAGACCUGACUCCAGCAUGGUGUCUGGCACAACACCACUCUCUCUUAAAAGGAAAAACAAAACAAAACAAAACAAAACAAAAUUAUUCAACACUCUGGAAAUUUUGAUCUAAGAACCUGCGUGAGGAAAAAGAACCUAUUAUAUUUUUAAAAAUAAAACCUUUAUUUCUAUGGUCCUGCAUGCAUAUAAG
rnacentral:lncRNA from 1 species